UAAGAAAUAAUCUGGUGGCUCAGCAUGGCCUUCUUCACAAUGAAUAGAAAUCUUUUCUUCUUGCAGGCAGUGCAGCAGCAGAAGCUACCACUAAUGAAGAGGAGAGGGAGGAGAGAAUCCUAUCUCUAUGACACCUAUUUCUAACUCAUGUUUGGCUCAUUUGAUUUGUGCUUCUCUCUGGCCUUCCAGUACAACUGUCUGUACUACAUUGCAAAGGCAAGCCAGGAAAAAGACCUACUUAUUAAAGCUCGCCACCUUUUAGAUACAGAAAGGCCGCUAUCAGGUGUUCCCCCUGGACCCUUCUCUUCUCCAGCGUGAACAGCUCCAGUCCUCUCAGCCUGUCCUUGUCCCUUAAAUAAUUUCUGUGGCUCUGCUCUGGAUGCACUCCAACAGAUCUAUGUCUCUCCUGUACUGAGGACUCCUCAUCUGGAUGCAGUACUCCAGGUUAAGAUCUCACUAGCACAAAGUAGAGGGGCAGGACCACAUCCCUUCACCUGCUGGCCACACUUCUUUUGAUGCAGGCCAGGAUACGGUUGGCUUUCUGGGCUGCAAGGGCAUAUUGCUGGCUCAUGUCCAGCUUCCCACCCACCAGUACACCCAAGUCCUUUUUGACAAGCUUGUGCUCAAUGUUUUAGUCUCCCAGCUUGUAGUGAGUAGCAAUUGCUAUGAUACAGAUGCAAGACCUUGCACUUGGAUUUGCUGAACCUCCCAAUGUUCUCCUGGGCCUGUUGUAAUACAAGAAGAAUUUUGCAGAGCAGCAGCCAUGGAUCAAGAUAAGGACUUCACAAAGCAGCUGCGGAGCAGGAUAAACAGCAUGAGUACCAAGGACACCUCUAGGAUAAGAAUGAAUGGCUCGUGGCUUUGAAGGGGGCUUUUAGGGUUGUUAUUGCAGUAGCUUUCCUCCAAUUAAUGUGUGUGAUUUUUGGAUGCCCUCGUCUGUCUGCUGUAAAAGUAUGGCUUUUUGGGCAAUAAAUUGACACGCUAUAUGUAACCAUA